rnacentral:rRNA from 1 species
AUACGGAGGACGCGAGCGUUAUCCGGAUUCAUUGGGUUUAAAGGGUGCGCAGGCGGCCGUGCAAGUCAGCGGUGAAAGCCCGGGGCUCAACCCCGGAAGUGCCGUUGAUACUGCAUGGCUGGAAUGCGGUCGAGGCGGGCGGAACGUGGCGGGUAGCGGGGGAAUGCGUAGAUAUGCCACAGAAAGCCGAUAGCGGAGGCAGCGCGCCAGGCCUGCAGUGACGCUCGGGCACGAAAGCGUGGGGAUCGAACAGGAUUAGAUACCCUGGUAGUCCACGCCGUAAACGAUGGGCGCUCGUCGUCGGCGGCAGACAGUCGGCGGCCAAGCGAAAGCGAUAAGCGCCCCACCUGGGGAGUACGGUCGCAAGGCUGAAACUCAAAUGAAUUGACGGGG